GAUAAUACUGCUUAUGAUAAUACUGCUAAUGAUAAUACUGCUUAUGAUACUACUGCUUAUGAUAAUACUGCUAAUGAUAAUACUGCUUAUGAUAAUACUGCUUAUGAUAAUACUGCUAAUGAUAAUACUGCUAAUGAUAAUACUGUUAAUGAUAAUACUGCUUAUGAUAAUACUGCUUAUGAUAAUACUGCUUAUGGUACUAAUACUUAUAAAAAAAUAGAACAACAGAAAAGUAACUACUCAACAUUAUCAAAUAAUACAUUAAACAAAAUUAAUUAUACUAAUGAUGGGGAUUAUAAUAAUGAAGACUAUGAGAAAAUAAAACAACAGAAGUCAUACUAUACAACACAACCAACUAAUACAUUAAAUAACAGUUAUAAUAAAUAUUAUCCUUCAGAAAAAAAUGAAAAUUGUAAAGAGGUCACAGUCGACAGUAGUUAUUAUAAGCAGCAUUCAAAUGAAACAAAAAAUAAAGAUAAACAAGAAAUAUACAAAUAUAAAAGUAAUGACCUAGAAAGGGUUACUGAGGAAACCAAAAAAAAGGAGAAACGUGUAAAAAAGAACAGCAAAAAGUAUACAUAUAUGGAGACAGACACAUGUACAGAUACAGACAUCGAUACAUUCAUAAAUAAUGAACACGAAGAACUAAUAAGUUAUACGUUACCUAAAAAUAACGACACAAACACAGGUACAUACACAAACACAGGUACAUACACAAACACAAGUAAAUACACAAACACAGGUACAUACAAAAACACAGGUGCAUACAAAAACACAGGUGCAUACAAAAACACAGGUACAUACACAAACACAGGUACAUACAAAAACACAAGCGCUAGCACUUUAUCUGGGCCUAAUAAUAAUAAUAAUAAUAAUAAUAAUAAACCCAAAACAAAUGCAUAUUCAUACAUGCAACAAAAAGAAGUAACCAUGGAAGAUGAAAGUAACGAUAAUAGCUUUGAAAAAGGAAAUAUUUUAAAACAUAUGUAUCAUACGUUAAACAAUCAACAUUUAAAAAAGAUAAAAAAAAAAUAUAAUAAUAAACAUAACGAUUGUAAUAAACA
ensembl:lncRNA